rnacentral:rRNA from 1 species
AUUGAACGCUGGCGGCAGGCCUAACACAUGCAAGUCGAACGAGUGGCGGACGGGUGAGUAAUGUCUGGGAAACUGCCCGAUGGCGGGGGAUAACUACUGGAAACGGUAGCUAAUACCGCAUACCAUCGGAUGUGCCCAGAUGGGAUUAGCUCGUAGGUGGGGUAAUGGCUCACCUAGGCGACGAUCCCUAGCUGGUCUGAGAGGAUGACAAGCCACACUGGGACUGAGACACGGUCCAGAGUCCUACGGGAGGCCGCAGUGGUGAAGUUUGCACAAGAGUCGCAAGCCUUAUGCAGCCAUGCCGCGUGGAUGAAGAAGGCCUUCGGGUUGUAAAGUACUUUCAGCGAGGAGGCGUUACUCGCAGAAGAAGCCCCGGCUAACUCCGUGCCAGCCGCCGCGGUAAUAC